GUUUGUGCGUGUGUGUGUGUGUGUGUGAUUGUGUAUGUGUGUGUGUGUGUGUGUGUCUAAAACUGUUAUUAACUCAAUGUACAUGUCGGUGAAUAUAUCUAAUUCAUAUAUAUCACAGAUCAACGACAUCAUCUGAUCAACACCCAAAAACUAAGACAAUGAUUCUGCUUUUUGUCGCAAUCUACAUGCUCGUGCUAAUCAUGGUGGCCACGGGAAUGGGCCUCCUUGUGAUGGGCAAAUCCGUCGGCGCCGUCACCACCUUCGUUGCUCUGGGGCUCGUGACUUUCGCGUUGGCCUCGGCCUUGCAGCUCCGGUCGUGGCUCCUGACGUCUUAUGGCACCCCCCCCCCCCUGGGCCCACCG